rnacentral:tRNA from 1 species
UAGCUCAGUGGUAGAGCGUAAGACUCUUAACCUUGUGGUUGUGGGUUCGAACCCCAU